GAUGAACGCUAGCGGCAGGCUUAAUACAUGCAAGUCGUGGGGCAGCGCAGGUAGCAAUACUGGGCGGCGACCGGCAAACGGGUGCGGAACACGUACACAACCUUCCGAGAAGUGGGGAAUAGCCCAGAGAAAUUUGGAUUAAUACCCCGUAACAUAACGAUGUGGCAUCACAUUGUUAUUAUAGCUUCGGCGCUUCUUGAUGGGUGUGCGGCUGAUUAGAUAGUUGGCGGGGUAACGGCCCACCAAGUCUACGAUCAGUAGCUGAUGUGAGAGCAUGAUCAGCCACACGGGCACUGAGACACGGGCCCGACUCCUACGGGAGGCAGCAGUAAGGAAUAUUGGUCAAUGGACGCAAGUCUGAACCAGCCAUGCCGCGUGAAGGAUUAAGGCCUCUGGAUUGUAAAC
rnacentral:rRNA from 1 species